CCUACGGGCGGCAGCAGUGGGGAAUAUUGCACAAUGGGGGAAACCCUGAUGCAGCGACGCCGCGUGAGUGAAGAAGUAAUUCGUUACGUAAAGCUCUAUCAGCAGGGAAGAAACACUGACCUUACGGUCAGCAGACGGUACCUGAGUAAAAAGCCCCGGCUAACUACGUGCCAGCAGCCGCGGUAAUACGGAGGGGGCAAGCGUUAUCCGGUUUUACUGGGUGUAAGGGGGCGUAGACGGUGGGCCAAGUCUGGAGUGAAAUGCCGGGGCUUAACUGCGGAACUGCUUUGGAUACUGGCGAACUAGAGUGCGGGAGGGGUAAGCGGAAUGUCUGGUGUAGCGGUGAAAUGCGUAGAUAUUAGGAAGAACACCGGUUGCGAAGGCGGCUUACUGGACCGUAACUGACGUUGAGGCGCGAAAGCGUGGGGAGCAAACAGGAUUAGAUACCCUAGUAGUC
rnacentral:rRNA from 1 species